rnacentral:siRNA from 1 species
GGAAGCCUGCCGCACGCCAUAC